UACGCGUCGCCUGGCAGAUUUGCUUCCCACGAGAACGUGUGGGCCAUGUACACGCAUCGACAUGAAUUCUGCAAAUGCUCAUUUCGUCAUGAAUUCUCCACUUUGCAUACUUUUCUUUUCACUUCUUCCACCCAAUCCUUGCCUUUAUGAACUUGAAAUCACUCACCAAACAUAUCAAGGCAUCGAAUAGAAUUAAAGUGAAUUAAAAUUAGCAAUCUAAAGGCCUAAAAGGCAUGUUUUCACUCUUAAGCACAAAUAAGGGAGAGAUCGCAAAAUCAUGCUA